rnacentral:rRNA from 1 species
GACGAACGCUGGCGGCGUGCCUAAUACAUGCAAGUUGAGCGAUCAAGUUUGGUGCUUGCUCCAAUUUGAAGAGCAGCGAACGGGUGAGUAACGCGUGGGGAAUCUGCCUUUGAGCGGGGGACAACAUCUGGAAACGAAUGCUAAUACCGCAUAACAACUUUAAACAUAAGUUUUAAGUUUGAAAGAUGCAAUUGCAUCACUCAAAGAUGAUCCCGCGUUGUAUUAGCUAGUUGGUGAGGUAAAGGCCUACCAAGGCGAUGAUACAUAGCCGACCUGAGAGGGUGAUCGGCCACAUUGGGACUGAGACACGGCCCAGACUCCUACGGGAGGCAGCAGUAGGGAAUCCUCGGCAAUGGGCGAAAGUCUGACGGAGCAACGCCGCGUGAGUGAAGAAGGUCUUCGGAUCGUAAAACUCUGUUGGUAGGGAAGAACGUAGGUGUGAGUGAAAAGGUAAGUAAGGAAGGGAAAUAACCAAGAAGGGAACGGUAAACUACUG